UAAACACCAGUUCCCAUAUGAUCACCAAAGUUAAGCAAUGUUGGUCCUGGUCAGUAACUAAAUGGGUGAUAGCUUGAGAGUAACAGGUGCUGUAU